CACAUUGAACUUUAUACUUCUUGUAAACCCUCAUUUUUGUUCACUUUGAGGUACAGUAAAAGCUCGUUAAUUCAAAUUCUGCGGAGUUGCUACAAAAGUUCGAAUUAUACAAAAUUCGAACUAAUGAAAGUCACAGAAAAAAAAUCGCUUGGUUAACGCAUGUAUAUAGUCUGACGGGGCGUGAGCAUGCGUGCACACACGUUACGUCACGUUGGCGUGAGCAACCGCGUCUAUCCUUCGAACCAUUGGUGCAGCUAACGUGGCCAACGCGGUCCGACGUGCCCGACGUCGAAAUGGCCCUUGCUCCAUCUGCACGUUCGUGGUGCCGACUGGCGCGGAGAAAAAAAGAGUCGCAGUUUCGCCCGAAAAGUGAAAAUUCGAUUGCGAUAGCAAAUUAGUAGGUAGCUAUACGAAGUAAGGAUAGUAAUUUUAUUGGCCGUAUAAACUUGUAAACAUUCACUUAUUAAAUAAAUUAACAAGUAUGGUGUCACGUGUGCAGAGGUAAACAUGAACACAUCUCGCUCGAUGACCGCGUAAACUCACAGAAAAAUGCUGGAGUGAGGAAUCGCGGCAGCAGCAGCAAGCCAACUGACCUUCGUACAGCUUUCGCUUCAACGCGAAUGAAACGUAGAAAGCGCACCGCAUACGAAGCUACCGGCACUACGCGCACUCUGCAGCCAUAACAGAUCGCUUUGAAGAUGAGGCCCACGCGGGCGCGCACUUUGGCCAUAUCGCAGAUCCCUUUCAAGAUACGGCGCCCGCAUGGCCACGCCGUAAGCAGCAGCCACCGGGAACGUCCCCUCCUCCCUCUCUCUCUCCGCCUCAACCCCGUGCCUUGCGCGCGACAGGAGAGGGCACGCAUCCGCCCCGCCUUCCUUGCUCGCGCACAUGAGAUUGAGCCAUGUACACUGGCUCAGCCUCGCACUUUCGCUCCCAUAUACAGCAUAUGGCGCACGGUGACAGCACCCUUGAGCUUUGUACGGAACCUCACAGGAGAGAAGCAACCUGCAACAGAGGCGUUGGCCGUGCCUGGCCAGGCACAAAUGCGUGCCUCUGCAGUCAGGCCUAAACAAAGGGCCUCAGACGGAAAAAGCAAAGUCGCACGGUUCGCCCGGCGACGCCAGCAUGCUCCCGCACAUAGCACUCUCCCCAUCCAUGAUGCCGUCGAGUUCGAAUCAUUGGUGGCAGUACGGAUUUCAGUGUGAAUUAGCGGGAUGUGUUCCAUAUUGCUUUCAAUACAUUGCUGAACGGACCGCGGAGUCUACUUCGAAUUAUCCGAAAUUUCGUAUUAACAAGUUGUGAAUUAACGAGAGUUUACUGUGCGAGGUUGAAAGCAAGAUUAAGACCAAACCUUCAUGCUUUUUGUUAUUGUUCUUGUAUUGCACUGGGCUCAAGCAUAUGCCACAAUAAUCCUUGACGUCAUGGCUAAAUGGUGUGGGCCAAGUGAAAGUGGCCUUGCCACCCUUCUUUUGCGUCUUUCCUGGCUUUACCUUGAGGGUCCCUUUGUGUUGCUGCACGCAUCUUAAUCUGCAUCUUCAGCAGGAAGCCACUGCAGUAGUGCAGCUUAAAGGAUUUCAAAGCACAGUCGUUGAAGCAGGAAACACAGAGAAGCAACAAGGGGCAGCACUUCAAUCACAAAUAAAGCACCACAGCCUCA